AGAACGAACGCUGGCGGCAGGCCUCAAACAUGCAAGCCUAGGGGGUGUAGCAAUACAUCACCGGCGGACGGGUGCGUAACACGUGGGAAUAUACCUUUUGGUUCGGAACAACGCAGGGAAACUUGCGCUAAUACCGAAUGUGCCCUUACGGGGAAAGAUUUAUCGCCAAAGGAUUAGCCCGCGUAGGAUUAGCUAGUUGGUGAGGUAAUGGCUCACCAAGGCUCCGAUCCUUAGCUGUUCUGAGAGGAAGAUCAGCCACACUGGGACUGAGACACGGCCCAGACUCCUACGGGAGGCAGCAGUUGGGAAUCUUGGACAAUGGGGAAACCCUGAUCCAGCCAUGCCGCGUGAGUGAUGAAGGCCUUCGGGUUGUAAACUCUUUCGGACGGGGACAUAAUGACGGUACCCGUAGAAGAAGCUCCGGCUAACUUCGUGCCAGCAGCCGC
rnacentral:rRNA from 1 species